GCUGGCCUCUACUCACCAAAUUCCAGGGUCACCUCUCAGCUUUGAUAACCCCAGAUAUCUCCAGACAUUGCCAUGAUUCCUGAGGAGGGGUAGGAAGGAAUUGUUCCCAGUUGACAAACCCUGUCCUAAAAGAAACAAAAGAACUGUUUUAUAGAGUAGGUAAUAAAUCUAUGAGAUUUCAUAAGAAGUAGCAAGUGCUGAAAAUAAAAGUGUUAUCUCCAAAUCUAUGUUGACUCACCCAUGACCUUUACAAAGCCCUUCUUAACAGUAUGAAAAACUCUCCCUUUUUUGUUUGCUUCCAAAAGGGUGAGCAUCAUAUGCUCCUAUAGAAUGGCCAUUGUUUCAUGCUUCUGUGGAAAAGACCCCUUUUUGACAGGAAAUAUGAGUGCAUUCAUCAAGGUGCCAGCUAGAAAAUGCAGGCUUGGGGCGGGGAGGGGGGCGCGAAGGGAAUUCCUUUUGUGGCUAAGUAGUGACAAGCCUCACUAGUAUCCAUGAGGAUGGCGUCUCUGCCCAGCUCAGUGAGUUAAAGAUCCUGCGUUGCUGUGUCGCAGAUGCCGCUCUGAUCUGAUCUCUGAUCUGGCUGUGGCGUAGGCGGGCAACUGCAGCUCCAACUGGACCCCUAGCCUGGGAACUUCCAUAUGCUGUGGGUGUGGCUCUAAGAGAAAGAAAAACGAAAAUGCAGGCUUGAGAUGUUUCCUAGAACCCUGGCAUGGUGCUUCAUACAUCAAAAACACAAGAGCGAAUUUAAGCCCCUUUUCAUAGGGAAGCCAGGAGAUGGAGAUCAGUUACCAGGGGUAACGUCAAAAGCACAUACGGGACAGUGAAAACAGGAGAAAGACCAAGAACCGGAAGCCAGAUGGUUUUUACAAUAAAGAACUUGUUUGUGUUCACUUCUGAAUGAGUGUUGAUUUCUAGGCUGAGAGAUUUAAGUUCAAGGAUGCCUGACUGGCUGAAUGGACAGGAAUGGUAUGGAGAGUCACCAAAAACCAAGUUGCUAAACCAAAGGUUGAAGAUGAAUUCCAGUGAACAGUGGGGCUGUCCAAGGAGGGUAGAGACAAAUUCUUCAGCAUUACUGCUCUAGAGAAAGAAAGGAGACAGUCGGCUGAAAGUUGUGACACGCCUAGAUUUUUCUUUCAAGUUGCCUUAGGUGUUAAUGAUGCGAAAGGGUUUGUAGCUUUGUGUGGUGCCUUAUGGAGCACAGGAAAAUAAAAAUUACAGUGCCACAUAUGUGUUCACAAUCAAUUUGGCUAUUUGCAAUAUUUAUAUGCAAAUUCAUGCCAUAAUAAAUUAAUAAAAUGGUGCUAUAAAAUGGAUCCACUGGUAUUUUGUGUAAUGCUUGACACUAGAUCUAUUUGCCUUAAAUUGAGUCCUAUAAUUGGCAAGGAAGUAAUUCUUUAGCAUCUUUUGCUAUAUAUUAUUUGCUUAGGUAAAUAGAAAAUAGACCCAUCCUAUGGCCACAUUAACGUUUAAUGUUUUAAAAAUGAAUUGAUAUAUGCUUACUACAAACAAUUCAAACAAUAAAGACACAUAUGAAAAAUGAGAAUUCUUUUUCUGUCUCUAAUUGCCUCCCUAAACCUUUAUAAGAAUCACGUUAAACCGUAAACAGUAAAGAUUAUUUACUUUGGGUUUUUUAAAAAUUUGUGUAAAUUCCAUUUCCAAAGAGGUACUUUUGUCAACCAUGUAUUAAUUUCUAUUUUUAUUGCAUUCUGCAUUUCUGUUUUGUGAAUAUUUACACAGAAAUUACAUCAACAAAUAUCUUAAUCACUAUUCUUAGAAGUUUUAUUUACUCAUUAUCAUUUCUUGUACUUCUAUCUUCAUUUUCCCCUUCAUUUUUUCCAUUUUUCAUACACAUACAUAUCAUCCUUCUUUUUUCAAGUUCCAUGGAUAGUAAUUUUUCUGAUAAAAAUUUCUCUAUUUUGAAUAUUUUGGAGGGUGGAUAUACAUUGCAGAUUCAAAACAUUCUUAGCACAGUAUAGAUUUUGUUAUACUGGUAAUUUAUAAUUUGUUUUGGUUUUGUUUUUUUGGCUUUUCUUGUUACAAAUGAGUUUGGUUCAUGUUUCUGCCAAGUUAUUAUCUUUCUUAUCUUGCAGUUUGUAGGGUUGUUGUGUUUAUCCUCAGAGACUACACUUUCUAGGAAUGUGGGGUGUGAAAAUGUACUGAUACUUUUGUAUUCUGUGUUCUGGAAGAAUCCUUUUCCUUGUUUUGAAUCUCUGGUACACUGAUUUAAUCUUUUACCAUUGGUAAUUGUAUACUUCUCUUGAGUUUUCUCUCUUCCUACUCCCCUUCUAAAUUUCAGCACCCAUGCUUUUAAUUUCUAAGAAAGCUAAACUGAGUAUUUUUUGGUUUUGUUUUUUAAGUAACAGACCUAUGUUGUGUGAGUUAUAUGAUAGCAUCUUGAAAUCCUAAGGAGAUAAAAUUUAUACAUUUUUUUUCAAAGAUUUCUUCUCACUCCUGAUUUAGCCCUGUGUCUCCUUGCUUUUGUAAUCUUUCUUGCCAGUGAUUUUUCUACAGCAUUUGACGAUUUAGGGAGUUUGUUUAUAUAAGUAAAUGAGAGUCAUGGUUGACCAAAGCUAUCGAUGGAGGAUUUUAAUCCAGUGCUCUUGAAGAUCUGUGUGGUUAAUCCGAGAAUGGGGCUGGGAGCCUGACUCCAGCGGACCUAUAUUUCUGUGACUGUGGAUCACUUAUGUUCUAGGAAUGGGAUCUCCUCUGCCAGCUUGGAGUUCAGAUGCUCUUUUGGGUCUGAUCCAACUUCGUCUUCUGGCCCUGUGGUCUACUUUGUGCCUCCUAAGGAACUGCCCACUCUAUCUGGCUGGAUCAUCUCAGCUAAUCAGCUCCUCUGUUUUCUACCUGUCAACCCACAGGUGGAUUCUGCUUCCACCCCAGCUACCUGAGCUAUUGGCGCUAUCUCAAAGCUCUGUGGGGAAAAUUCCCUUUUUUCACUUAUGUUUGGGAGGCCCCAACACAAAUAUCAAACACAUUACAGUGUUUCCACAUCAACACAAGGGUGCCAAGUUAGGAGUUCCUGUAGAAAGGUAAUGUAAUUCCCUCUUUGAUAAUGUCAUGCACAUGUUCUAUUUAUUUUUUGUGUUUGUUGAACUACAAUAUUU
rnacentral:lncRNA from 1 species